UACGGAGGGUGCGAGCGUUUAUCCGGAAUUACUGGGUUUAAAGGGUGCGUAGGCGGCCAAGUAAGUCAGGAGUGAAAGUUUGCGGCUCAACCGUAAAAUUGCUUUUGAUACUGCUUAGCUAGAAUCAGGAUGAGGUUAGCGGAAUGUGGCAUGUAGCGGUGAAAUGCAUAGAUAUGCCAUAGAACACCAAUUGCGAAGGCAGCUGGCUAGACCUGUAUUGACGCUGAGGCACGAAAGCGUGGGGAGCGAACAGG
rnacentral:rRNA from 1 species